rnacentral:rRNA from 1 species
AACGGGCUUAAACUGAAACCUAGUGAAGUUUAAGUUAGUGGCGGACGGGUGAGUAACGCGUGGAUAACCUGCCGUAUGCAGGGGGAUACCAACUGGAAACAGUUGCUAAUACCGCAUAAGCGCACAGCACCGCAUGGUGCAGUGUGAAAAGAUUUAUCGGCAUACGAUGGAUCCGCGUCCGAUUAGCCAGUUGGCGGGGUAGAAGCCCACCAAAGCGACGAUCGGUAGCCGGCCUGAGAGGGCGGACGGCCACAUUGGGACUGAGACACGGCCCAAACUCCUACGGGAGGCAGCAGUGGGGAAUAUUGCACAAUGGGGGGAACCCUGAUGCAGCGACGCCGCGUGGGUGAAGGAGUACUUCGGUACGUAAAGCCCUAUCAGCAGGAAAGAAAAUGACGGUACCUGACUAAGAAGCCCCGGCUAACUACGUGCCAGCAGCCGCGGUAAUACGUAGGGGGCAAGCGUUAUCCGGAUUUACUGGGUGUAAAGGGAGCGUAGACGGCAGUGCAAGUCCGGAGUGAAAGCCCGGGGCUCAACCCUGGGACUGCUCUGGAAACUGUAAAGCUGGAGUGCGGGAGGGGCAGGCGGAAUUCCUGGUGUAGCGGUGAAAUGCGU